UACGAAGGGGGCUAGCGUUGUUCGGAAUUACUGGGCGUAAAGCGCACGUAGGCGGAUAUUUAAGUCAGGGGUGAAAUCCCAGAGCUCAACUCUGGAACUGCCUUUGAUACUGGGUAUCUCGAGUAUGGAAGAGGUGAGUGGAAUUCCGAGUGUAGAGGUGAAAUUCGUAGAUAUUCGGAGGAACACCAGUGGCGAAGGCAGCUCACUGGGCCAUUACUGACGCUGAGGUGCGAAAGCGUGGGGAGCAAACAGG
rnacentral:rRNA from 1 species